rnacentral:rRNA from 1 species
UUAGCGGCGGACGGGUGAGUAACACGUGGGCAACCUGCCUGUAAGACCGGGAUAACUUCGGGAAACCGGAGCUAAUACCGGAUAAUUCCUUUCCUCGCAUGAGGAAAGGUUGAAAGGCGGCUUCGGCUGUCACUUACAGAUGGGCCCGCGGCGCAUUAGCUAGUUGGUGAGGUAACGGCUCACCAAGGCGACGAUGCGUAGCCGACCUGAGAGGGUGAUCGGCCACACUGGGACUGAGACACGGCCCAGACUCCUACGGGAGGCAGCAGUAGGGAAUCUUCCGCAAUGGACGAAAGUCUGACGGAGCAACGCCGCGUGAGCGAUGAAGGUCUUCGGAUCGUAAAGCUCUGUUGUUAGGGAAGAACAAGUACCGUUCGAAUAGGCGGUACCUUGACGGUACCUAACCAGAAAGCCACGGCUAACUACGUGCCAGCAGCCGCGGUAAUACGUAGGUGGCAAGCGUUGUCCGGAAUUAUUGGGCGUAAAGCGCGCGCAGGCGGUCUCUUAAGUCUGAUGUGAAAGCCCACGGCUCAACCGUGGAGGGUCAUUGGAAACUGGGAGACUUGAGUGCAGAAGAGGAGAGCGGAAUUCCAUGUGUAGCGGUGAAAUGCGUAGAGAUAUGGAGGAACACCAGUGGCGAAGGCGGCUCUCUUGUCUGUAACUGACGCUGAGGCGCGAAAGCGUUGGGAGCAAACAGGAUUAGAUACCCUGGUAGUCCACGCCGUAAACGAUGAGUGCUAAGUGUUAGAUUCCUUAGGAAACUGAC